rnacentral:rRNA from 1 species
UACGAAGGGGGCUAGCGUUGCUCGGAAUCACUGGGCGUAAAGCGCACGUAGGCGGGUUGUUAAGUCGGGGGUGAAAUCCUGGAGCUCAACUCCAGAACUGCCUUCGAUACUGGCGACCUUGAGUCCGGGAGAGGUGAGUGGAACUCCGAGUGUAGAGGUGAAAUUCGUAGAUAUUCGGAAGAACACCAGUGGCGAAGGCGGCUCACUGGCCCGGGUACUGACGCUGAGGUGCGAAAGGCGUGGGGAGCAAACAGG